AUUGAACGCUGGCGGCAUGCCUUACACAUGCAAGUCGAACGGCAGCACGGGGCAACCUGGUGGCGAGUGGCGAACGGGUGAGUAAUGCAUCGGAACGUACCUUUCAGUGGGGGAUAACGUAGCGAAAGUUACGCUAAUACCGCAUAUUCUGUGAGCAGGAAAGCAGGGGAUCGCAAGACCUUGCGCUGAUUGAGCGGCCGAUGUCAGAUUAGCUAGUUGGUGAGGUAAAGACUCACCAAGGCGACGAUCUGUAGCGGGUCUGAGAGGAUGAUCCGCCACACUGGAACUGAGACACGGUCCAGACUCCUACGGGAGGCAGCAGUGGGGAAUUUUGGACAAUGGGGGCAACCCUGAUCCAGCCAUGCCGCGUGAGUGAAGAAGGCCUUCGGGUUGUAAAGCUCUUUCGGCCGGGAAGAAAUCGUACGGGCUAAUACCCUGUGUGGAUGACGGUACCGGAAUAAGAAGCACCGGCUAACUACGUGCCAGCCGCCGCGGUAACAC
rnacentral:rRNA from 1 species